CAGUAGCCGCGGGAAUACGAAGGGGGCUAGCGUUGUUCGGAUUUACUGGGCGUAAAGGGCGCGUAGGCGGACUGAUAAGUCAGGGGUGAAAUCCCAAGGCUCAACCUUGGAACUGCCUUUGAUACUGUUUGUCUUGAGUUCGAGAGAGGUAAGUGGAACUGCGAGUGUAGAGGUGAAAUUCGUAGAUAUUCGGAAGAACACCAGUGGCGAAGGCGACUGACUGGACAAGUAUUGACGCUGAGGUGCGAAAGCGUGGGGAGCAAACAGGAUUAGAUACCCGGGUAGUCCCUGUCUCUUAUAC
rnacentral:rRNA from 1 species